CAGUCGCCGCGGUAAUACGUAGGUGGCAAGCGUUGUCCGGAAUUAUUGGGCGUAAAGGGCUCGCAGGCGGUUUCUUAAGUCUGAUGUGAAAGCCCCCGGCUCAACCGGGGAGGGUCAUUGGAAACUGGGAAACUUGAGUGCAGAAGAGGAGAGUGGAAUUCCACGUGUAGCGGUGAAAUGCGUAGAGAUGUGGAGGAACACCAGUGGCGAAGGCGACUCUCUGGUCUGUAACUGACGCUGAGGAGCGAAAGCGUGGGGAGCGAACAGGAUUAGAGACCCCCGUAGUCCCUGUCUCUUAUAC
rnacentral:rRNA from 1 species